AAGUAAAAGUCGUAACAAGGUCUCCGUUGGUGAACCAGCGGAGGGAUCAUUACCGAGUUUACAACUCCCAAACCCCUGUGAACAUACCACUUGUUGCCUCGGCGGAUCAGCCCGCUCCCGGUAAAACGGGACGGCCCGCCAGAGGACCCCUAAACUCUGUUUCUAUAUGUAACUUCUGAGUAAAACCAUAAAUAAAUCAAAACUUUCAACAACGGAUCUCUUGGUUCUGGCAUCGAUGAAGAACGCAGCAAAAUGCGAUAAGUAAUGUGAAUUGCAGAAUUCAGUGAAUCAUCGAAUCUUUGAACGCACAUUGCGCCCGCCAGUAUUCUGGCGGGCAUGCCUGUUCGAGCGUCAUUUCAACCCUCAAGCACAGCUUGGUGUUGGGACUCGCGUUAAUUCGCGUUCCUCAAAUUGAUUGGCGGUCACGUCGAGCUUCCAUAGCGUAGUAGUAAAACCCUCGUUACUGGUAAUCGUCGCGGCCACGCCGUUAAACCCCCAACUUCUGAAUGUUGACCUCGGAUCAGGUAGGAAUACCCGCUGAACUUAAGCAUA
rnacentral:rRNA from 1 species